GCCCUACGGGGGGCAGCAGUGGGGAAUAUUGCACAAUGGGCGCAAGCCUGAACGAGCAAUGCCGCGUGAACGAGGAAGGUCUUCGGAUCGUAAAGUUCUGUUGAAGGGGAAAAAGAGCGGAGAGAGGAAAUGAACUCCGAUUGAUAUUACCCUUCGAGGAAGUCACGGCUAACUACGUGCCAGCAGCCGCGGUAAUACGUAGGUGGCGAGCGUUAUCCGGGAUGAUUGGGCGUAAAGGGUGCGUAGGCGGCCUGCUAAGUCUGGAGUGAAAGGUACCGGCUCAACCGGUACAGGCUCUGGAAACU
rnacentral:rRNA from 1 species